CCCUUAGACACUCUAGGCGGCACGCGCGCCACAAUGGGUGGAAGAACGUGUUACUGCCUCCGAAAGGAGGGGUGAAUCACGAAUUCUUGCCCGUGAAUGGGAUAGUUUGUUGCAAUUUUCGGACUUGAACUAGGAAUCCCUUGUAAACAUGCUCAAGAAUAGCGUGUUGAAUACGUCCCUGCCGUUUGUACACACCGCCCGUCGUUUCUUCCGACUGAUACUCAUUGUGAGUUGCAAGGACCCUUUAUUGGGAAAUUGCUGCAAAUGCUUUGUAUUGGAGGAAGAAAAAGUCGUAACA
rnacentral:rRNA from 1 species